AUUGAACGCUGGCGGCAGGCCUAACACAUGCAAGUCGGACGAGCGGCGGACGGGUGAGUAAUGUCUGGGGAUCUGCCUGAUGGAGGGGGAUAACUACUGGAAACGGUAGCUAAUACCGCAUACCAUCAGAUGUACCCAGAUGGGAUUAGCUUGUAGGUGAGGUAAAGGCUCACCUAGGCGACGAUCCCUAGCUGGUCUGAGAGGAUGAACAGCCACACUGGGACUGAGACACGGCCCAGACUCCUACGGGAGGCAGCAGUGGGGAAUAUUGCACAAUGGGCGCAAGCCUGAUGCAGCCAUGCCGCGUGUAUGAAGAAGGCCUUCGGGUUGUAAAGUACUUUCAGUCGGGAGGCGUUACCGACAGAAGAAGCACCGGCUAACUCCGUGCCAGCAGCCGCGGUAAUUC
rnacentral:rRNA from 1 species